CGAAUGCUGACAUAAGUAACGAUAAAGCGGGUGAAAAGCCCGCUCGCCGGAAGACCAAGGGUUCCUGUCCAACGUUAAUCGGGGCAGGGUGAGUCGACCCCUAAGGCGAGGCCGAAAGGCGUAGUCGAUGGGAAACAGGUUAAUAUUCCUGUACUUGGUGUUACUGCGAAGGGGGGACGGAGAAGGCUAUGUUGGCCGGGCGACGGUUGUCCCGGUUUAAGCGUGUAGGCUGGUUUUCCAGGCAAAUCCGGAAAACUAAGGCUGAGGCGUGAUGACGAGGCACUACGGUGCUGAAGCAACAAAUGCCCUGCUUCCAGGAAAAGCCUCUAAGCAUCAGGUAACAUCAAAUCGUACCCCAAACCGACACAGGUGGUCAGGUAGAGAAUACCAAGGCGCUUGAGAGAACUCGGGUGAAGGAACUAGGCAAAAUGGUGCCGUAACUUCGGGAGAAGGCACGCUGAUAUGUAGGUGAAGUCCCUCGCGGAUGGAGCUGAAAUCAGUCGAAGAUACCAGCUGGCUGCAACUGUUUAUUAAAAACACAGCACUGUGCAAACACGAAAGUGGACGUAUACGGUGUGACGCCUGCCCGGUGCCGGAAGGUUAAUUGAUGGGGUCAGCGCAAGCGAAGCUCUUGAUCGAAGCCCCGGUAAACGGCGGCCGUAACUAUAACGGUCCUAAGGUAGCGAAAUUCCUUGUCGGGUAAGUUCCGACCUGCACGAAUGGCGUAAUGAUGGCCAGGCUGUCUCCACCCGAGACUCAGUGAAAUUGAACUCGCUGUGAAGAUGCAGUGUACCCGCGGCAAGACGGAAAGACCCCGUGAACCUUUACUAUAGCUUGACACUGAACAUUGAGCCUUGAUGUGUAGGAUAGGUGGGAGGCUUUGAAGUGUGGACGCCAGUCUGCAUGGAGCCGACCUUGAAAUACCACCCUUUAAUGUUUGAUGUUCUAACGUUGACCCGUGAUCCGGGUUGCGGACAGUGUCUGGUGGGUAGUUUGACUGGGGCGGUCUCCUCCUAAAGAGUAACGGAGGAGCACGAAGGUUGGCUAAUCCUGGUCGGACAUCAGGAGGUUAGUGCAAUGGCAUAAGCCAGCUUGACUGCGAGCGUGACGGCGCGAGCAGGUGCGAAAGCAGGUCAUAGUGAUCCGGUGGUUCUGAAUGGAAGGGCCAUCGCUCAACGGAUAAAAGGUACUCCGGGGAUAACAGGCUGAUACCGCCCAAGAGUUCAUAUCGACGGCGGUGUUUGGCACCUCGAUGUCGGCUCAUCACAUCCUGGGGCUGAAGUAGGUCCCAAGGGUAUGGCUGUUCGCCAUUUAAAGUGGUACGCGAGCUGGGUUUAGAACGUCGUGAGACAGUUCGGUCCCUA
rnacentral:rRNA from 1 species